GUAACAACUGGGCAAGGCAAUUGCAGACAGAGGGAGUGAGGGUAUGUGAGAGAACAGCCCUGAAGAAAUUAAGGCCCGUGAAGAAGGGGCAGAAAGUGUUCCAGGCACCAGAGCAGAUGUUUCUCUGCAGCCCAGAGUAAAGACCAUGGUGAGGCAGCUGUACCCCUGCAGCACAUGGGGUCUGCAGCGGAGCAGGGAUCACCUGCGGUCCAGUGGAGGAGCCCCGCUGGAGCAGAUGGAGAAGCAGAUGGAUCCCUCAGGGAGCCCAGAGGACAGCAAGUUUGCUGGCAGGAUUUGCAACCCCAUGGGCAACCCAUGCUGGAGUAAUUCAUGAAGAACUGCAGCCUGAGGCCUCUACCCUCAAAUGAAUGAAGACUGCAACCAUCACUCCUAUCUUGGACAUCAAAAUUGCAAUGAUCAAGAAUCAUCACUGGAUUCAUCAGAGGAAAGAACCAGAAGAGCCAUAUACCUCCUUUCCACUGCAAUUAAAUUGUUUUGAAAUAAACCUGGC